rnacentral:rRNA from 1 species
CCUACGGGAGGCAGCAGUGAGGAAUAUUGGUCAAUGGCCGUAAGGCUGAACCAGCCAAGUCGCGUGAAGGAAGAAGGAUCUAUGGUUUGUAAACUUCUUUUAUAGGGGAAUAAAGGUAUGCACGUGUGGAUCUUUGCAUGUACCCUAUGAAUAAGCAUCGGCUAACUCCGUGCCAGCAGCCGCGGUAAUACGGAGGAUGCGAGCGUUAUCCGGAUUUAUUGGGUUUAAAGGGUGCGUAGGUGGUUUUUUAAGUCAGCGGUGAAAGUUUGUGGCUCAACCAUAAAAUUGCCGUUGAAACUGGAAGACUUGAGUGUGUUUGAGGCAGGCGGAAUGCGUGGUGUAGCGGUGAAAUGCAUAGAUAUCACGCAGAACUCCGAUUGCGAAGGCAGCUUACUAAGCCAUAACUGACACUGAAGCACGAAAGCGUGGGGAUCAAACAGGAUUAGAUACCCUAGUAGUC